rnacentral:rRNA from 1 species
CACUCCUACGGGAGGCAGCAGUGGGGAAUAUUGGACAAUGGGCGCAAGCCUGAUCCAGCCAUGCCGCGUGAGUGAUGAAGGCCCUAGGGUUGUAAAGCUCUUUCACCGGUGAAGAUAAUGACGGUAACCGGAGAAGAAGCCCCGGCUAACUUCGUGCCAGCAGCCGCGGUAAUACGAAGGGGGCUAGCGUUGUUCGGAUUUACUGGGCGUAAAGCGCACGUAGGCGGACUAUUAAGUCAGGGGUGAAAUCCCGGGGCUCAACCCCGGAACUGCCUUUGAUACUGGUAGUCUUGAGUUCGAGAGAGGUGAGUGGAAUUCCGAGUGUAGAGGUGAAAUUCGUAGAUAUUCGGAGGAACACCAGUGGCGAAGGCGGCUCACUGGCUCGAUACUGACGCUGAGGUGCGAAAGCGUGGGGAGCAAACAGGAUUAGAUACCCCAGUAGUCCCA